UGGCUAAGGUGUAUGUAAAAUUCCGACUUCAACUGUAUAUUUUGUAUAUAGGUGUGGUGGUACUAGCUAAGUCAUGUCUGACUACAACAGUGUACAACAAACCCAAACCAACCCAGGGCCAUAGCAAAACAUGUCACAGUUGGUUACAUAGUGUAACGGCGUCACCGGCCAAAAUCUAAUCGAAUUUGGAGCCAGUCAGUCUACAUCUGUAAAGCAUAGAAUUAGUUUCCAAAAAAGAUUACGUUAUUUCUCGAACUAUGUUUAUAAGGGAUGAUGACAAUCGUUGAUCCUGUUUUUCAGUUAGAUAAAGUGCACAGCUGGGUGCCAAACUGAUCCCCUGGACAUGAACGGAUGCUGGAACCUACCAGAAGGAGUAAAGGCCCUCCAGUUAACACCACCUCGAAAGAUUGCCUGCUGCGGUUGUUCAAGAGAUGGGUGGGAGGGGCCAUCAUCAGUAUCAUGCAGACCAGCCCUCGCUGUGAACAUUCCUAUGAAUUUGAUCAGUCAGCCACAUAUUGGCAAGUAUCCAUCCAGAAACAUUCACUUGUCAGUAUCAACAACAUUCACAGGCUCAUCAUUUGUACAAAUACAGAAGGUAAACCACUUCAUUCCUUUGAUAACCCAAUUGUGAAACAUAAUUUAUCUAUACUGACAUUAUUUGGUUCUUAUUUUCUACUUCUUAGAUGCAUAUGAUGCCCAUGGGCAUAAUGUAGCCUGGUGGAACCAGUCUAAUCGCUGUGUUCACCAUUCGAUUUCACUUGACAUUUGAUGAUAUCUGAAGUGAAAUAGAAAGGUGAAUGCAGCAAUCAGGCUGGUUCCACCAGGCUAAUCAUAACCAUUAUUGAUAAUGCAACCAGUGCUCUGUGUAUGCGCAUGCGACCGACCUGACGGACGACCGACCGAGGAGCUGAUCUACGCUGCUAUGCCCAUCAAUGGAGCUCUGGCAAAGACCUCACCUCUUGCCUCCUCACCAACGGUUGUCGAUGGGGAGAACAGAAUUAGAUACCUGUAUGGAGGCAGCACUUUGGAGAAUUGCUAUGGUGGUACAACUGAUUUCUGACUAUAACCGGUUACCACAAACCCAAACCAACCCAGGGCGAUAGAACAACAUGUCACAGUUGGUUGCAUAGUGUAACGGCAUCACCGGCCUGAAUCUAAUCCUACACCUGUAGGGAUAUUAGUUCUGGGAUUUGUCUCCUGGGAAAGAUUUAACAGCGGACAUGGGGAGAGAUGAGACAAAACCAUCCAGUUAUAGAAUAUUGUGUUGUAGGACAGCUGAGCUGACUGAAGACCUCGGGCAUUCAACUCCAGUAGUCGAUAUCAUUUCCACGGUAACAUGUAUUUACAUGACAUGAUGAAACGUUGAAAAUAAGUUGCAAGCGACUUUGGUAGCAAGGCGUUGUAGAACGAGUGUCUUAUGAAACACAUUCCAGACACUGGCUCUGGCCAUGUUGCAAUAACUGAUUUUGACAGAGACAUAUCAGCUAGGAGGAUAACCAGCUGCAGCUAUUAAAAAGCUAUGCUAGCUAGCUGCUGUCAGCUUGGCUAAACACAAGCAAAAGUGUAAAGUACUUAAGUAAGAAUACUUUAAUGUACUACUUAAGUCGUUUUUUGGGG